rnacentral:rRNA from 1 species
UUAAGCGACUAAGCGUACACGGUGGAUGCCCUGGCAGUCAGAGGCGAUGAAGGACGUGCUAAUCUGCGAAAAGCGUCGGUAAGGUGAUAUGAACCGUUAUAACCGGCGAUGUCCGAAUGGGGAAACCCAGUGCAAUUCGUUGCACUAUCGUUAACUGAAUACAUAGGUUAACGAGGCGAACCGGGGGAACUGAAACAUCUAAGUACCCCGAGGAAAAGAAAUCAACCGAGAUUCCCCCAGUAGCGGCGAGCGAACGGGGAGCAGCCCAGAGUCUGAAUCAGCUUGUGUGUUAGUGGAACGGUCUGGAAAGUCCGACGGUACAGGGUGAUAGUCCCGUACACCAAAAUGCACAGGUUGUGAACUCGAAGAGUAGGGCGGGACACGUGGUAUCCUGUCUGAAUAUGGGGGGACCAUCCUCCAAGGCUAAAUACUCCUGACUGACCGAUAGUGAACCAGUACCGUGAGGGAAAGGCGAAAAGAACCCCGGCGAGGGGAGUGAAAAAGAACCUGAAACCGUGUACGUACAAGCAGUGGGAGCACCUUCGGGUGUGACUGCGUACCUUUUGUAUAAUGGGUCAGCGACUUAUAUUCUGUAGCAAGGUUAACCGUAUAGGGGAGCCGCAGGGAAACCGAGUCUUAACUGGGCGUUAAGUUGCAGGGUAUAGACCCGAAACCCGGUGAUCUAGCCAUGGGCAGGUUGAAGGUUGGGUAACACUAACUGGAGGACCGAACCGACUAAUGUUGAAAAAUUAGCGGAUGACUUGUGGCUGGGGGUGAAAGGCCAAUCAAACCGGGAGAUAGCUGGUUCUCCCCGAAAGCUAUUUAGGUAGCGCCUCGUGAACUCAUCUUCGGGGGUAGAGCACUGUUUCGGCUAGGGGGUCAUCCCGACUUACCAACCCGAUGCAAACUACGAAUACCGAAGAAUGUUAUCACGGGAGACACACGGCGGGUGCUAACGUCCGUCGUGAAGAGGGAAACAACCCAGACCGCCAGCUAAGGUCCCAAAGUCAUGGUUAAGUGGGAAACGAUGUGGGAAGGCACAGACAGCCAGGAUGUUGGCUUAGAAGCAGCCAUCAUUUAAAGAAAGCGUAAUAGCUCACUGGUCGAGUCGGCCUGCGCGGAAGAUGUAACGGGGCUAAACCAUGCACCGAAGCUGCGGCAGCGACACUAUGUGUUGUUGGGUAGGGGAGCGUUCUGUAAGCCUGCGAAGGUGUGCUGUGAGGCAUGCUGGAGGUAUCAGAAGUGCGAAUGCUGACAUAAGUAACGAUAAAGCGGGUGAAAAGCCCGCUCGCCGGAAGACCAAGGGUUCCUGUCCAACGUUAAUCGGGGCAGGGUGAGUCGACCCCUAAGGCGAGGCCGAAAGGCGUAGUCGAUGGGAAACAGGUUAAUAUUCCUGUACUUGGUGUUACUGCGAAGGGGGGACGGAGAAGGCUAUGUUAGCCGGGCGACGGUUGUCCCGGUUUAAGCAUGUAGGCUGAUUGUCCAGGCAAAUCCGGAUAAUCAAGGCUGAGGUGUGAUGACGAGGCACUACGGUGCUGAAGUAACAAAUGCCCUGCUUCCAGGAAAAGCCUCUAAGCAUCAGGUAACAUCAAAUCGUACCCCAAACCGACACAGGUGGUCAGGUAGAGAAUACCAAGGCGCUUGAGAGAACUCGGGUGAAGGAACUAGGCAAAAUGGUGCCGUAACUUCGGGAGAAGGCACGCUGGUGUGUAGGUGAAGUCCCUGCGGAUGGAGCUGAGACCAGUCGAAGAUACCAGCUGGCUGCAACUGUUUAUUAAAAACACAGCACUGUGCAAACACGAAAGUGGACGUAUACGGUGUGACGCCUGCCCGGUGCCGGAAGGUUAAUUGAUGGGGUUAUCCGUAAGGAGAAGCUCUUGAUCGAAGCCCCGGUAAACGGCGGCCGUAACUAUAACGGUCCUAAGGUAGCGAAAUUCCUUGUCGGGUAAGUUCCGACCUGCACGAAUGGCGUAAUGAUGGCCAGGCUGUCUCCACCCGAGACUCAGUGAAAUUGAACUCGCUGUGAAGAUGCAGUGUACCCGCGGCAAGACGGAAAGACCCCGUGAACCUUUACUAUAGCUUGACACUGAACAUUGAGCCUUGAUGUGUAGGAUAGGUGGGAGGCUUUGAAGCGUGGACGCCAGUCUGCGUGGAGCCAACCUUGAAAUACCACCCUUUAAUGUUUGAUGUUCUAACGUUGGCCCCUGACCGGGGUUGCGGACAGUGUCUGGUGGGUAGUUUGACUGGGGCGGUCUCCUCCCAAAGCGUAACGGAGGAGCACGAAGGUUAGCUAAUCCUGGUCGGACAUCAGGAGGUUAGUGCAAUGGCAUAAGCUAGCUUGACUGCGAGCGUGACGGCGCGAGCAGGUGCGAAAGCAGGUCAUAGUGAUCCGGUGGUUCUGAAUGGAAGGGCCAUCGCUCAACGGAUAAAAGGUACUCCGGGGAUAACAGGCUGAUACCGCCCAAGAGUUCAUAUCGACGGCGGUGUUUGGCACCUCGAUGUCGGCUCAUCACAUCCUGGGGCUGAAGUAGGUCCCAAGGGUAUGGCUGUUCGCCAUUUAAAGUGGUACGCGAGCUGGGUUUAGAACGUCGUGAGACAGUUCGGUCCCUAUCUGCCGUGGGCGCUGGAGAAUUGAGGGGGGCUGCUCCUAGUACGAGAGGACCGGAGUGGACGCAUCACUGGUGUUCGGGUUGUCAUGCCAAUGGCACUGCCCGGUAGCUAAAUGCGGAAGAGAUAAGUGCUGAAAGCAUCUAAGCACGAAACUUGCCCCGAGAUGAGUUCUCCCUGAGACUAUAAGUCUCCUGAAGGAACGUUAAAGACGAUGACGUUGAUAGGCCGGGUGUGUAAGCGCAGCGAUGCGUUGAGCUAACCGGUACUAAUGAACCGUGAGGCUUAACCUU